rnacentral:rRNA from 1 species
GACGAACGCUGGCGGCGUGCCUAAUACAUGCAAGUCGAACGCACAGUUUAUACCGUAGCUUGCUACACCAUAGACUGUGAGUUGCGAACGGGUGAGUAACGCGUAGGUAACCUGCCUGGUAGCGGGGGAUAACUAUUGGAAACGAUAGCUAAUACCGCAUAAUAUUAAUUAUUGCAUGAUAAUUAAUUGAAAGGUGCAAUUGCACCACUACCAGAUGGACCUGCGUUGUAUUAGCUAGUAGGUGAGGUAACGGCUCACCUAGGCGACGAUACAUAGCCGACCUGAGAGGGUGAUCGGCCACACUGGGACUGAGACACGGCCCAGACUCCUACGGGAGGCAGCAGUAGGGAAUCUUCGGCAAUGGACGAAAGUCUGACCGAGCAACGCCGCGUGAGUGAAGAAGGUUUUCGGAUCGUAAAGCUCUGUUGUAAGAGAAGAACGGGUGUGAGAGUGGAAAGUUCACACUGUGACGGUAUCUUACCAGAAAGAGACGGCUAACUACGUG